UAACAAAAACAUUUCUAUUAGAUUUUAUUAAUAGUAUAAUCUGCUCAAUGACAUUAAAUAGCCGCUAUUACUGUGCUAAGGUAGCAUAAUCAUUUGUCUUUUAAUUAAAGACUAGAACAAAAGAUUGAACAUUUUAAUUAAUAUAUUUAAAUUAAUUAAUUAAAUUUAUUUUAAAUGUAAAAAAACAUUUAUAAAUUAGAAAGACGAUAAGACCCUAUUAAACUUAACUUAAGUUAAACUGGGGCAGUUAAUUAAUUAUUACUUUAAUUUAAAUCAAAAAAUAAAUAGAUCCUAUAAAAUAGAUUAAAUGAUCAAGUUACUAUAGGGAUAACAGCGUAAUAUUAAUUAAAAGAUCUUAUUUAAAUAAAAGAUUACGACCUCGAUGUUGAAUUAAUAACCUAUAUAGUUGCAAUAAACAAUAAAGG
rnacentral:rRNA from 1 species